rnacentral:rRNA from 1 species
AGAACGAACGCUGGCGGCAGGCCUAAAACAUGCAAGUCGAGCGCCCAGCAAUGGGAGCGGCGGACGGGUGAGUAACACGUGGGAACGUACCUUUCGGUUCGGAACAACUCAGGGAAACUUGAGCUAAUGCCGAAUUCGCCCUUCGGGGGAAAGAUUUAUCGCCGAAAGAUCGGCCCGCGUAAGAUUAGCUAGUUGGUGAGGUAACGGCCCACCAAGGCGACGAUCUUUAGCUGGUUUGAGAGAACGACCAGCCACACUGGGACUGAGACACGGCCCAGACUCCUACGGGAGGCAGCAGUUGGGAAUCUUGGACAAUGGGGGAAACCCUGAUCCAGCCAUGCCGCGUGAGUGAUGAAGGCCUUCGGGUUGUAAAACUCUUUCGACGGGGACGAUAAUGACGGUACCCGUAGAAGAAGCUCCGGCUAACUUCGUGCCAGCAGCCGC